rnacentral:rRNA from 1 species
CCUACGGGAGGCUGCAGUGGGGAAUAUUGCACAAUGGGCGCAAGCCUGAUGCAGCCAUGCCGCGUGUGUGAAGAAGGCCUUCGGGUUGUAAAGCACUUUCAGCGGGGAGGAAGGCGGUGAGGUUAAUAACCUCAUCGAUUGACGUUACCCGCAGAAGAAGCACCGGCUAACUCCGUGCCAGCAGCCGCGGUAAUACGGAGGAUGCAAGCGUUAAUCGGAAUUACUGGGCGUAAAGCGCACGCAGGCGGUCUGUCAAGUCGGAUGUGAAACCCCCGGGCUCAACCUGGGAACUGCAUUCGAAACUGGCAGGCUAGAGUCUUGUAGAGGGGGGUAGAAUUCCAGGUGUAGCGGUGAAAUGCGUAGAGAUCUGGAGGAAUACCGGUGGCGCAGGCGGCCCCCUGGACAAAGACUGACGCUCAGGUGCGAAAGCGUGGGGAGCAAACAGGAUUAGAUACCCUAGUAGUC